rnacentral:rRNA from 1 species
AGAGUUUGAUCCUGGCUCAGAAUCAACGCUGGCGGCGCGCUUAACACAUGCAAGUCGAACGAGAAAGCUGGAGCAAUCCAGUGAGUACAGUGGCGUACGGGUGAGUAACACGUGGAUGAUCUACCUCCUUGUGGGGAAUAGCCUUGGGAAACCGAGGAUAAUACCGCAUAAGUCCGAGAGGAGAAAGCAGCAAUGCGCUG